rnacentral:rRNA from 1 species
UACGAGAGGCCCAAACGUUAUUCGGAAUUACUGGGCUUAAAGAGUUCGUAGGCGGCGCGGAAAGUGGGGUGUGAAAGCCCUCGGCUCAACCGAGGAAUUGCGCUCCAAACUGCCGUGCUUGAGGGACCUAGAGGUGAGCGGAACUGAUGGUGGAGCGGUGAAAUGCGUUGAUAUCAUCAGGAACACCGGUGGCGAAGGCGGUUCUCUGGGCCUGUUCUGACGCUGAGGAGCGAAAGCGUGGGGAGCGAACAGG